rnacentral:ncRNA from 19 species
ACGUCCUGCCCGUGAUCGUCUUCUCACCUUUCACGCAGGCAGGCGGAGAGAAGGAGGGCCCCCGCGAGGACGUGACUCGCGGGGGCCCUCC